UGAAGCCAAGAAGGGUAGGUGUGAAACUUUUGCUUCUUGCCACUUCAGUCUAGCUUGGGCACAGCAUAGCACUCUGUCUAAUCUCUUUGCGACGAAGUUAUUCUCAGUCUUACCCCUCUUCCAUGUAAACUGAUUGCCAUUAAAACUCAUAUCAAUCAAUGACAUGUUAUUAAUCCAGUCACCAAAUGUUAAAGAAUCCUCAGACAAUCUUCCAUUCCCACCACUCCUCUCGUCUAACCUCAUAAUCGUGUUGAAAUCCCCACCAACGAACACCGGGCCAACAACAUCACGUAUCACAUCUUCCAAUGCAGCCCAGAGACCACUCCUACGAUUUGGAGAAGGAGCAGCAUACACUACAAUCAGAUUAAUCACCUCUGUUCUACUUCCUAUUCUAGCGUGGAUAUACUGAUCAGAGGACUUCACUACUUCAAGCUCCCCUACUUCCUCUCUCCAUAACAGCCACAAACUCCACUCUUGCCACACGCAUCCACCC
rnacentral:lncRNA from 1 species